ACAUAUAUACUUUCUUUCCAACUAAUUUUCAUACAAUAACAUUAGAUAGCCUGCAAUACCAAACGCGCCUAAGAAGUUGUAGUUCACAAAAGAACAAGAAGCAUUGGGCCUCUCCUGCCCUUAGCCUUUGUUUGGUUGGGGGUUAAGGGGAGGAAUAACCCCUUAACCCCUAUAUUAUCUCCAAACACCUCCAAAAAUGGGUGGGUUAACUAACCCCACCUCAAAUGGGCUAUUCCGGUUAGCUAACCCCGCCUAACUCCACCAAACUCCAACCAAACACUAUUCUCUAUUCAUAAUAACCCACAAUCCUUUUUAUCCCACCUACUCCAACCAAAUACUAUUUUUCACUAUCCUGAACUAACUCCAACCCCCAACUAAAUAUAAAAAUAUUCUAACCCCGCCUAAACCCUGAACUUAACCCUAUUCUUGAAAUAACUAGUUUUUCCUUAACCCCGAACCAAACGGUAACUUAGCACACUUUUCGAAGCAUAUAUCCUUGAUCGAUAUGACUUUUU
rnacentral:lncRNA from 1 species